GAUGAACGCUGGCGGCGUGCCUAAUACAUGCAAGUCGAGCGAACGGAUGAGAAGCUUGCUUCUCUGAUGUUAGCGGCGGACGGGUGAGUAACACGUGGAUAACCUACCUAUAAGACUGGGAUAACUUCGGGAAACCGGAGCUAAUACCGGAUAAUAUUUUGAACCGCAUGGUUCAAAAGUGAAAGACGGUCUUGCUGUCACUUAUAGAUGGAUCCGCGCUGCAUUAGCUAGUUGGUAAGGUAACGGCUUACCAAGGCAACGAUGCAUAGCCGACCUGAGAGGGUGAUCGGCCACACUGGAACUGAGACACGGUCCAGACUCCUACGGGAGGCAGCAGUAGGGAAUCUUCCGCAAUGGGCGAAAGCCUGACGGAGCAACGCCGCGUGAGUGAUGAAGGUCUUCGGAUCGUAAGACUCUGUUAUUAGGGAAGAACAUAUGUGUAAGUAACUGUGCACAUCUUGACGGUACCUAAUCAGAAAGCCACGGCUAACUACGUG
rnacentral:rRNA from 1 species